UACGUAGGGAGCAUGCGUUGUCCGGAAUCAUUGGGCGUAAAGAGCGUGUAGGCGGUUUGCUAAGUCUGGUGUGAAAUCUUUCGGCUUAACCGGAAGCGGUCACUGGAAACUGGCAGACUUGAAUCUGGAAGAGGAGUGUGGAAUUCCUGGUGUAGCGGUGGAAUGCGCAGAUAUCAGGAGGAACACCUAUGGCGAAGGCAGCACUCUGGUACAUGAUUGACGCUGAGACGCGAAAGCGUGGGGAGCAAACAGG
rnacentral:rRNA from 1 species